GUGAUAUCAAAUCCUGGUACACAAAUCCUGGUACAAACAGUAGCACAAUGGCUAUUCUUCCUUGAAGCCAAAGGCCCCAGAAGACCUUGUGAAUGAACAUUGUCCAUUUCCUUGUCAGGGCCAUAGUCACCUGAUGUAGGAGCUGACCAGGGGGAACCAAGGCCCACCCUGACAGAGAAUUAAGGGCUCAGUCAAGGCAUGACGGAGAAAGGAGAAUUUAGAAAUACCUUUUGAAAGGAAUAUGAUUGAUGAGAAGAGAUGCAACAGAGCUGCAGAGCAGCACCGCUUAUUAGGUAUGCUUUCUCUUCCAGAGAACUUAUUUCCUUUCCUUUACAUGUUUUGGUGUUUCUGCUGUUGAUGCUUCCUUGAAGCAAAGUGCACUGCUCUGAUGGCAGAGACCAAAAAGUGGUACCAUGACUGUGCACCUGCGGUGAGGGAAGGGAGUGUUGUUGCCAACCCUGCUUGCAGUCAUGGACAUGAAGAUGAUGAAGAGGCAGCCCCUUCCCCAAGGGAGGGCAGACAUAUAGGCAGAUAGAUUGCACGGGGUUUGAGAGGUUGGAAAGACCCAAUGGAUGCAAGACACAGAGAUGGCCAGGAUAAACUCGACUGACCCUGCAGUCGGAUCCGGUAGCUGGCCUUCCUCUCGUUCUCCACCUGCGGCCACAGGUAACUUAAAAUGGAAAGCUGUUUCUCUUGGUCCUGUGCCUCUUGUCCUGUGUUUAAAAACCUUCCACAGUUCCCUCUAUCUGUAGAGUAGAGGCGACAGUCUUGGCAUCAUAUGAUGGAGGUGGUAAUGAUGUGGUCCAUCUUCUUUCUCCAAAGGCAUCGCUCUACCCUUUCUUUCCCCAGCACAUGCAUAUGUACACAGUGUGGAAACUCCCGCUCAGCUGGACCACCCUGCUCAGUCUGCGAAGCCAGGUUCACCAACUAGACUUUGUACACACACCAGCUCUCAUUGUGUGGAAUCUUGCUCUCCAAAAU
rnacentral:lncRNA from 1 species